UAAGUGGGAAACGAUGUGGGAAGGCACAGACAGCCAGGAUGUUGGCUUAGAAGCAGCCAUCAUUUAAAGAAAGCGUAAUAGCUCACUGGUCGAGUCGGCUGCGCGGAAGAUGUAACGGGGCUAAACCAUGCACCGAAGCUGCGGCAGCGACACUAUGUGUUGUUGGGUAGGGGAGCGUUCUGUAAGUCUGCGAAGGUGACCUGUGAGGGUUGCUGGAGGUAUCAGAAGUGCGAAUGCUGACAUAAGUAACGAUAAAGCGGGUGAAAAGCCCGCUCGCCGGAAGACCAAGGGUUCCUGUCCAACGUUAAUCGGGGCAGGUGAGUCGACCCCUAAGGCGAGGCCGAAAGGCGUAGUCGAUGGGAAACAGGUUAAUAUUCCUGUACUUGGUGUUACUGCGAAGGGGGGACGGA
rnacentral:rRNA from 1 species